CAAAGACUUCAGGAGAAUCUGCAGCAAAGUCAUGCAACUGGUAUCCUCCAGCCACAAACACACCAGCUCUGAGGGCUCUGCAAGCUUGCUGAGGAAGACUGCAGACAUUUGGCUCCCGACUGCACCUUGUGACUAGCAAAAUGCUUGUGACACAGCCAACAUCCACACAGCUCCUUGCUCUGUUAGCAGAGAGCACAGAAGCAAUGGCACCGGAGGAGCAAGAAGCACACCCACUACGCAGGUCUUCGUUUCUAAUACCAUUCAUUCUCCAGUAAAUGGAACCAAGGUCCUUGGAGACAUCGAUGCUUCUAGAAAUGGGGCAGGAAACAUUCAGAAUGGCCUGGAACAUCGUGUUUUGCCACGAAGAAGGAAGUUCAAACAAAAAAGUCAACAAAAUCUGUACUCAGUGUUGGGGGUAUGUCAAAGGGACCUAUGAGCCAACUGAAAGAGCUCUCAGCGGCCAAAGCUAGGACAGUUUGAGCAACCUGAUAAAUAAAUAAAAUAGUAUUAGACUAUGACCCAAAAUAAAUAUCUACAAGUACACCUGAUAGAAAUAAAUGAUUGAAUAAGCUCAUGGGAAAGAACAGACAAAUGUCCCAUGCAGAAUUGUGAAUAAUUAAUGUAGAUUCUCUGCCCUCAAGUUGGUGGAGCACAACUCCACACUCCUUAAGUGCAGGCUGGGCAUAGUGACUUUUUUUCUGCCAAAGAGCAUGGAAAAGGAGAAAGUAUGGAAAGGGAGAAAGAAGAGUCCCUUUACAGGGAGUCGCUGACAGGCAGUACCUCAAGCCAGGUGGUGAAGACCA